AGUCCUAUUCUGUCUAAUUUCAAUGUGACCAGUUCACUCUUCCAGCCGUGUGCAUCUUAGUAGCUUAUUUUGUAGGUGCAUGGGAGCCAUUUACAUGUCAUAGUGCAACUGCUAGCAAUCCUAAUUUCCUUGUGAACCUGAAAUAUAUGUUUAAACUUAUUAAAUUAACAGUACUAUUAAUAAUCAGAAUAAUCAAAUGAUAUACAUAAAACAAUGUCGCAAUUAAUAUAAAACGCAAACUGCUAUUCUGUACUAAAUGCACCAUAUAGUUUAGCAAUACAUUUUACCAUAUAUCCACUAUGUUUUUAAAAUACUCCGCACAAUACUCAAUAUUGUGUUGCAACAUAUCCAGAUUAUGUUUUGGCAAUACAUUAUCAUAUAUCCAUAUUAUUAUUCAUACUCUGCACUAUAGUCAACAAUACUGUGUUAUAACAUAUCCAGACUACGUUUUGGCAAUACAUUAUCACAUAUCCAUAAUAUGUGAGCAAUACUCUGCAAAAUAUCCAUAUUCAUUUAGAAACAGUAAUAUUUCGAAAUACUAUAUCCCUGUUAAUAUCCAUAUCCAUUCUAAACAAUAGCUUGUUCCAUAAACAGGUACUGUAUCCUCUGGCAAAUGUACAUAAUAUUUUAGCAAUGCAUUAUCACAUAUCCAUAUAAUUAUUCAUACUCUGCUGCAUACUCAGCAAUAUUAUGUUGCAACAUAUACAAAUUAUGUUUUGGCAAUACAUUAUCUCAUAUCCAUAAUAUCUGUGCAAUACUCUGCAAAAUAUCUAUAUUAUUCUAGAAACACUAAUAUUUUUAAUUACUAUAUCCCUAUUAAUAUCCAUAUUUAAUCAAAACAAUAGCAUGCCCCAUAAGCAGGCACUGAAUCCUCCGGCAAAUGUAUAUAAUAUUUUAGCAAUGCAUUAUCACAUAUCCAUAUAAUUAUUCAUACUCUGCUGCAUACUCAGCAAUAUUAUGUUGCAACAUAUCCAGAUUAUGUUUUGGCAAUACAUUAUCACAUAUCCAUAUUAUCUGAGCAAUACUCUGUAAAAUAUCUCUAUUAUUCUAGAAACACUAAUAUUUUGAAAUACAAUAUCCCCAUUAAUAUCCAUAUUUAAUCGAAACAAUAGCUUGUUCCAUAAACAGGCACUGAAUCCUCCGGCAAAUGUAUAUAAUAUUUUAGCAAUGCAUUAUCACAUAUCCAUAUUGUUUUUCGUACUCUGCUGCAUACCCAACAAUAUUAUUUUGCAACAUAUCCAGACGACGUUCUGACAAUACAUUAUGAAAUAUCCAUAUAAAUUGAGCAAUACUCUGCAAGAUAUCUAUAUUAUGCUCGAGACACUAAUAUUUUUGAUUACUAUAUCCCUAUUAAUAUCCAUAUUUAAUCGAAAUAUUAGGUUGCCCAUUAAACAGACACUAUAUCCUCUACCAUAUGUAUUUAAUAUUUUAGCAAUGCAUUAUCAUGUAUCUAUAUUAUUUUUUAUACUCCGGUCCAUACUCAACAAUACUGUGUUAUAACAUAUCCAGAUUAUGUUUUGGCAAUACAUUAUCACAUAUCCAUAUUAUCUGAGCAAUUCUCUGUAAAAUUUCCAUAUUCAUUUAGAAACAGUAAUAUUUCGAAAUACUAUAUCCCUGUUAAUAUCCAUAUCCAUUCUAAACAAUAGUUUGUUCCAUAAACAGGCACUGCAUCCUCUGGCAAAUGUGUAUAAUAUUUUAGCAAUGCAUUAUCACAUAUCCAUAUAAUUAUUCGUACUCUGCUGCAUACUCAGCGAUAUUAUGUUGCAAUAUAUCCAGAUUACGUUUUAGCAAUACAUUAUCACAUAUCCAUAUAAACUGAGCAAUAUUCUGCAAGAUAUCCAUAUUAUUCUAGAAACACUAAUAUUUUUAAUCACUAUAUCCCUAUUAAUAUCCAAAUUUAAUCGAAACAAUAGCUAACUCCUUAAAUAGGUAUUAUAUCCUCUGGCAAAUGUACAUAAUAUUUUAAUAAUGCAUUAUCACGUAUCCAUAUAAUUAUUCAUACUCUGCUGCAUACUCAGCAAUAUUAUGAUGCAACAUAUCCAGAUUAUGUUUUGGCAAUACAUUAUUACAUAUCCAUAAUAUCUGAGCCAUACUCUGGAAAAUAUCUCUAUUAUUCUAGAAACACUAA
rnacentral:misc_RNA from 1 species